rnacentral:rRNA from 1 species
AUGGCCAUGACGAUCAUCUCCCGGUCCAUCGACGACUCGACGCUGCUGCAGGUUGCGGAGAAGGAGACCGCAUCCGAUGUGUGGGCGGCGCUACGCUCCAUGCAUGUGGGCGUCGAGCGUGUCCGAGAGGCGAGAGUUCAAUCCUUGCGAUCGGAGUUUGAUGGCCUCAAGAUGGGUGAUGUGGAGUCCGUGGAUGAUUUCGCGGCGAGGUUCAUGACGCUCGUGGGGCGCAUCGGUGAGCUUGGUGAUGCAAUGGAGGAGAAGUACGUCGUGAAGAAGCUGAUCCGAGCCGUCUCCAACAAGUUCAUCCACGUUGCGUCAUCGAUUGCGUUGUUCGGCGACACCAACAAGAUGGCCAUGGAGGAGGCCAUUGGUUCACUCAAGGCGCACGAGGAGCUCGUCAAGGGGCGGGAGACGGCACGUGAAGAAGAUCAGCUCCUCAUGGCGAGAGGGCAUGACUCAUCGCGAGGACGCGGCCGUGGUGGCCGUGGCCGCGGACAUGGCCGCGGUGGAGGGCGCAGAGACAAGAGCGAGGUACAGUGCUAUAACUGUGAUGACUUUGGGCAUCUUGCUUGGGAGUGUCCGGAGAAGAAGAAGGACACCGAGGAGAAGGCACUGCUCGGCGUUGAGGACGAGCCAGCUCUUCUCUGA